ACUCCUACGGGAGGCAGCAGUGGGAAUAUUGCACAAUGGGCGCAAGCCUGAUGCAGCCAUGCCGCGUGUGUGAAGAAGGCCUUCGGGUUGUAAAGCACUUUCAGUCGUGAGGAAGGUAGUGUAGUUAAUAGCUGCAUUAUUUGACGUUAGCGACAGAAGAAGCACCGGCUAACUCCGUGCCAGCAGCCGCGGUAAUACGGAGGGUGCGAGCGUUAAUCGGAAUUACUGGGCGUAAAGAGCUCGUAGGUGGUUUGUCGCGUUGUCCGUGAAAUCCCACGGCUUAACUGUGGGCGUGCGGGCGAUACGGGCAGACUGGAGUACUGCAGGGGAGACUGGAAUUCCUGGUGUAGCGGUGGAAUGCGCAGAUAUCAGGAGGAACACCGGUGGCGAAGGCGGGUCUCUGGGCAGUAACUGACGCUGAGGAGCGAAAGCGUGGGGAGCGAACAGGAUUAGAUACCCUGGUAGGCUCUG
rnacentral:rRNA from 1 species